AACGAACGCUGGCGGCAUGCCUAACACAUGCAAGUCGAACGAGACCUUCGGGUCUAGUUGCGCACGGGUGCGUAACGCGUGGGAACCUGCCCUUAGGUUCGGAAGAACUCCCCGAAAGGGGUGCUAAUACCGGAUAACGUCUUCGGACCAAAGAUUUAUCGGCUUUGGAUGGGCCCGCGUUGUAUUAGCUAGUUGGUAGGGUAAAAGCCUACCAAGGCGACGAUCCAUAGCUGGUAUGAGAGGAUGAUCAGCCACACUGGGACUGAGACACGGCCCAGACUCUUGCGGGAGGCAGCAGUGGGGAAUCUUGGACAACGGGCGAAAGCAUGAUCCAGCCAUGCCGCGUGAGUGAUGAAGGCCUUAGGGUUGUAAAGCUCUUUUACCCGGGAUGAUAAUGACAGUACCGGGAGAAUAAGCUCCGGCUAACUCCGU
rnacentral:rRNA from 1 species